CCGUUCCACUGCACCGUGUGUGGGAAGAGCUUCUCUCAGCAGUCCUCCUUUAGGAUACACCAGAAGAGCCACACGGGGGAGAAGCCCUACCGCUGCCUUGCACCUGACUGUGGGAAGAGCUUCUACCAAUCAGGAGCCUUGUUGAGACACGGAAGGGGUCACGCUGAGGGUCGACAAGACUAAGAGCUGCUGAAGAUGUGCUGCCACACCAACAGGAGCUGCUUGUCCAACAGGACGAUACUAGUAACAAGAAUUCUAAACUUCAGGCUGUAGUGGAUGUUCUGCCAGAGCAAGAGGAUGUCCGUCUGGCUCAAGGAGACAGUCCUGCCCCUCCUCCCGGCUCCGUCCCCUCUACACCGGGAGGACUACCUGUCCAACACCAGGAGAACCACAACAACACUUCCAACACCUGUCAGAAGUGCGGAGAGCAGUUCCCUACCUUCUACAAGCUGCGU